GGUCCCGUGGUCUAACGGUUAUGACUACAGGUUUUGAUCCUGUCAGCGAGGGUUCGACUCCCUCCGGGACCU
rnacentral:tRNA from 5 species